rnacentral:rRNA from 1 species
CCUACGGGAGGCAGCAGUAGGGAAUCUUCCGCAAUGGACGAAAGUCUGACGGAGCAACGCCGCGUGAACGAUGAAGGCCUUCGGGUCGUAAAGUUCUGUUGUCAGGGAAGAACAAGUACCGGAGUAACUGCCGGUACCUUGACGGUACCUGACCAGAAAGCCACGGCUAACUACGCGCCAGCAGCCGCGGUAAUACGUAGGUGGCAAGCGUUGUCCGGAAUUAUUGGGCGUAAAGCGCGCGCAGGCGGUUCCUUAAGUCUGAUGUGAAAGCCCCCGGCUCAACCGGGGAGGGUCAUUGGAAACUGGGGAACUUGAGUGCAGAAGAGGAGAGCGGAAUUCCACGUGUAGCGGUGAAAUGCGUAGAGAUGUGGAGGAACACCAGUGGCGAAGGCGGCUCUCUGGUCUGUAACUGACGCUGAGGCGCGAAAGCGUGGGGAGCAAACAGGAUUAGAUACCCUGGUAGUCCACGCCGUAAACGAUGAGUGCUAAGUGUUAGGGGGUUUCCGCCCCUUAGUGCUGCAGCUAACGCAUUAAGCACUCCGCCUGGGGAGUACGGCCGCAAGGCUGAAACUCAAAGGAAUUGACGG